UCCUCGUUUGAGCGAGGCAGUCUGUCCAGAGUGCUUCAGCCUCUCGGCCAAGUGGCAACAGGACAUAAGGGUUGCGCUCGUUGCGGGACUUAACCCAACAUCUCACGACACGAGCUGACGACAGCCAUGCAGCACCUGUGCACGCUGGUAUUGCUACCUCGUCCCCCUUUCAGGGUUCUACUACAUGCAUGUCAAGGCCAGGUAAGGUUCUUCGCGUUGCAUCGAAUUAAGCCACAUACUCCACCGCUUGUGCAGGCCCCCGUCAAUUUCUUUGAGUUUUAAUCUUGCGACCGUACUUCCCAGGCGGCAUAUUUAACGCGUUAGCUUCGCCACAAAAGGGGUCGAUUCCUUUUACAGCAAAUAUGCACUGUUUACAGCUAGGACUAC
rnacentral:misc_RNA from 1 species